rnacentral:misc_RNA from 1 species
UGCUUCCCAUCUGGACACCUUUCAUUUGCAUAAAAUGAAUCCCCCUGCACACUCCUGCAAAAUUUCCUCUUUGCUUUCAUGUCACUUCGAUGAACAUUCCCACAUAUAUCUGCAACGAGAGAAAUGCCGUCAACACUUUCGAAACUCCUUUUCUCUGUCUUAUUUAUAACAUCUAAAACAGAGCCUAGACUUCGCAAACUCUUACUACUUUCAUGCAUUUUUAACAAAGAAGACGCUCCAUUUAUCUCAGAAUCCUCAAGGCCCCCUUUAUUAUCACCCAAAUCAACAGUAUCUCGGCCCCCG